rnacentral:rRNA from 1 species
GAUGAACGCUGGCGGCGUGCCUAAUACAUGCAAGUCGCGCGAACAGACGAGGAGCUUGCUCCUCUGACGUUAGCGGCGGACGGGUGAGUAACACGUGGAUAACCUACCUAUAAGACUGGGAUAACUUCGGGAAACCGGAGCUAAUACCGGAUAAUAUAUUGAACCGCAUGGUUCAAUAGUGAAAGACGGUUUUGCUGUCACUUAUAGAUGGAUCCGCGCCGCAUUAGCUAGUUGGUAAGGUAACGGCUUACCAAGGCAACGAUGCGUAGCCGACCUGAGAGGGUGAUCGGCCACACUGGAACUGAGACACGGUCCAGACUCCUACGGGAGGCAGCAGUAGGGAAUCUUCCGCAAUGGGCGAAAGCCUGACGGAGCAACGCCGCGUGAGUGAUGAAGGUCUUCGGAUCGUAAAACUCUGUUAUUAGGGAAGAACAAAUGUGUAAGUAACUAUGCACGUCUUGACGGUACCUAAUCAGAAAGCCACGGCUAACUACGUG